AGUUUCUGAAUGCUGGGAGCAAAUGGCAGCGUUGCACUGCACGACGGAUUUCCGGCUUCGUAAAACUUCUGUUGUAAAGAAAGACACCUUUGAGAGUUACUGUUCAAAGGAGUGACGGUAUUUAAGCCAGAAAAAGCCCACGGCUAACCUACGUGCCCAGCAGCCCGCGAGUAAAUACGUAGGUGGGCAAGCGUUGUCCCGGAUUUUAUUGGGCGUAAAGCGAGCGCAGGCCGGUUUUUUUAAGUCUGAUGUGAAAGCCUUCGGCUUAACCGGAGAAGUGCAUCGGAAACUGGGAGACUUGAGUGCAGAAGAGGACAGUGGAACUCCAUGUGUAGCGGUGGAAUGCGUAGAUAUAUGGAAGAACACCAGUGGCGAAGGCGGCUGUCUAGUCUGUAACUGACGCUGAGGCUCGAAAGCAUGGGUAGCGAACAGGAUUAGAUACCCUGGUAGUCCAUGCCGUAAACGAUGAGUGCUAAGUGUUGGAGGGUUUCCGCCCUUCAGUGCUGCAGCUAACGCAUUAAGCACUCCGCCUGGGGAGUACGACCGCAAGGUUGAAACUCAAAGGAAUUGACGGGGGCCCGCACAAGCGGUGGAGCAUGUGGUUUAAUUCGAAGCUACGCGAAGAACCUUACCAGGUCUUGACAUCUUCUGCCAAUCUUAGAGAUAAGACGUUCCCUUCGGGGACAGAAUGACAGGUGGUGCAUGGUUGUCGUCAGCUCGUGUCGUGAGAUGUUGGGUUAAGUCCCGCAACGAGCGCAACCCUUAUUAUCAGUUGCCAGCAUUCAGUUGGGCACUCUGGUGAGACUGCCGGUGACAAACCGGAGGAAGGUGGGGAUGACGUCAAAUCAUCAUGCCCCUUAUGACCUGGGCUACACACGUGCUACAAUGGACGGUACAACGAGUCGCGAAGUCGUGAGGCUAAGCUAAUCUCUUAAAGCCGUUCUCAGUUCGGAUUGUAGGCUGCAACUCGCCUACAUGAAGUUGGAAUCGCUAGUAAUCGCGGAUCAGCAUGCCGCGGUGAAUACGUUCCCGGGCCUUGUACACACCGCCCGUCACACCAUGAGAGUUUGUAACACCCAAAGCCGGUGAGAUAACCUUCGGGAGUCAGCCGUCUAAGGUGAAAAA
rnacentral:rRNA from 1 species